rnacentral:lncRNA from 1 species
CAGGUACAACCUCGGAGUAGGCACCGACAGGCCGGGCUUCCUCCGAUCUACACCUCCACUCUAUCUUUCUCAAUCUAGUAGAACUAGUCUACUCUCACAUUGGAUGCUAAGCCCUAAGUCUAUGUAGAGGAAAGGUUAUCCUUCGAGGGCACCUCUCAACUCUAUAAUGAACUUGUUCCCCUCCAGGGGCCAGGGGGUCUGCUUAUAUAGUCCCCUCAGGUGAACGUGAGCCGUCGGAUCAAACUGACAUUGAUUGAAAGGUUAUCCUUGAUCCUUUAGGUCGGUGGUGAGUAAUCCGCGAGACGGGACCUGAUUGGUCUCUGCAACAGGGCGGGCGCCCAAGGGGGGAGGGCGAGCGCCCUGCCUCCGGGCCCGAUCGCCUUCCCGUGGCUUCUGGAGUCUUCUAGAUGAUAGAAAAUUGCGCGGCACGUUAAUAUCUCUAUGUAAACCCGACGUGUGGGCCUUUCUUCCAUAUUUCCUGAUAACCCCCUACAGAAAUAGACAAACACCAAAACUCGUGGAAUUCAGUCAGAUAAAACCCUAAGUCUGGGUGUUGGUUGCAUUUGGAUCCUUUUCUUUAUUUAUUUAUUUGAUGAUUAUAUUUGGUACUUAAGGACCGUCAACAACUCCCCCAAGCUUACCUCUUGGUCGUCCCUGAGCAAGGAUGGACUCAAGAGUUUCCACAGUGGUUUCAUGCCUUAAAAGUAAGAUCUCACCUCUGAGUUAGAGUAAACUGUUAAGACUUAAAACUUACUCAUUUUACCUUUCUCCAUGGGGCUUGCAACCGUCACUUGUGUCUUGAGCGGUUAAAAGAUAGAACGGUCAAGUCAAGUGCCAUGUCUCUUGUUCUUUGAUCAGCUGUAGCUCUGGAGUUUUUGCAGAUUUUCAAAUAAAACUCAUAGAUUCCUUGUAUGACUCUCUCAAAUCUCUUUUUUGUGGCAUUUCUGGAUCCUUUCGAAGGCAGUGAUGAUAUAUAACUUCUCUCAAAGUAUUUAGUAUUUUUGGUAUGAGGCAUAGUGAUAUUGCCUUCUCUCUCACCCUACUCUAAUAACGUUUUGACAUCUGGAGCUCAUAGGUGGGAGAUAGAUAAUACAUACUUACAAGACACUUAUUGCAUAGUCAAACCAUGGAUCCAGAGAAACAAGUCAAUAAGUCAAAUCAAGAUGUGCAUGUGUGGCGAGUGAAUGGUGUAUGGUGAUGAUGGUGAUAACAAUGGUGAAUUUUAAUUCUACUUUUGCUCUUUUGAGGGGAUACAUACCUUUCUUGCACUUUGAAGCAUUUUGAGGAGAAUGAGAUGCUCUAUAUUUUCUUUUUCUUUUCUCUCAGGUGGGUGUCUUGUACCCCUAAUUCUACUAUCGGACACUUAUCCAUUUUUACCUCUCGUCUCACUUUUUCUUUUCUUCGAGGUUCCGCGCACUUGCCCCUUUUUAUUUCCUCGUAUUCUUUCUCUUUUUUUUUCUUUCUUUUUUUCUCUAUUUUAGAGCAGUCAUCUCCUGAAAUAUUAUAGCAAGUGGUAGUAACCAAGAUAACUCGAGCAUUUAUUUCACAGGGAAAAACAGAAAUAGGAGAAUGUUUUUAGCUAUUCUCUCCUGGAUUAGGAGUAGAAUAAUUUUAGGUGAAUCUGGAGAUGGAAUUGAGUGGAUGUAUGUGGAUGUGUACUUCCAGAGUAGAAGUAGCAUGUAUGAGUGAACGUGCAAGUGAAUCUUGAUUUUAACCGCAUGACAAGCUCUUAAGGGUCUACACAGCUUGACCACACUCAAUGCUCAUAAGCAGUAAAAAGUAAAUGUGUGGCUGAAAGUCUACCAAGCAUGUAUAUAUAGCUGUGGUAGGAAUUUAAACUCUCAUCAUACAGGAACUCAUCAUGUGUUAUUUUAAAGAUUUUCAAAGAUAAAAUUCUCUAGAAUUCUAGCAUCUCUAAGGACAAAUAAACAGCAGCUCAACCUUCUCAUAUCACAUCCGUUAACGACUUAGUGUAAUACCCGAUUUUAAGGACAAAAUCAGAUACACACCAUAUGUGAGUUUUAGAAGUCAAAUCUCACAUAUAGCUACAAAUAAGAGGUAAUAUCAAAAGACAAUGCAUAAAUAUAUAACAUACUUAGUAUAAAAGAGAUAACCUUGAUAGCAAACAGCGGAUAGACAAUUCCGAACUUUGGGUAUUAGCUUCUCUCUACAAGAUCCAACUGACUGGUUGAUCACAAGCCUAAACAUCUCCUGAGGUUUGGGGGAAAUAGCAAGAGUGAGUCCAUGUCGAACUCCACAAUUAUAGCAACUAGAUUGUAUAGCUCCCACAAUCUCAUGAUCAAUGUGACAUAAAUAAUGUAGAGCAUUAAACAAUAAAUAAUUAGUAUUUUAACACAACAAGAAUCAUCAUCAUCGAUGCAAGAAUCCCCAAGGCCGCUCUUAACCAUGAGCACGGCUAGUAUACCAGUUUUUAACACUCUACAGAGGUUGUACAUCUUUACCCAUGAGUCAUGAUUUACCCUUUCGCCCGAGGUGAUCAGCCCCUUAACCCACUUCCAAGGAAGGUCGGCAGGGAUCACUAUGAAGCCUUUCAAAAGUUCGUCUAACCUGUUAGGGCCGCAAGGUUUCCUUUGCGCGCAGAUAUAGAGCCCCCCUUCCGAUGGCACAACGACUCGCAGCCUAUACACAUACAGACAGAGGCCACACUAUACCCAAAACGGUUCAGCCCCUCCGCCCUUUCGGGUAACCUCUAACAAGCUAGAAAAGGUCUUCAUACGGAGCUAAAGCCAGAGCCAUUAUAGCCCUCAUGGUUGCACUGUUGUCCCAGUUAUCACUUACAGAUAAAUCAUCAAGUGGCUAAAAAGUCAUUUUUACCAUUUAUUACUUAACAUUAAUCUAGUCAUAGGAUCAUGUUCAC